GUAAAUGUCUUGGCUUUACGUUUUUGUGCACUGAUGAUGAUUUUUUUCUUAUUCUGUUGUUUUUUAAAAAGAAAAAGCAAUA
rnacentral:misc_RNA from 1 species